rnacentral:rRNA from 1 species
AUGGUGUGGUUGUUGGGGUCGAUGGAGCCUUCGGUCCGUGAGCAGGUUGAGAACCUGCAAACUACAGCAGAAGUGUGGAAGGAAAUUGGACAACAACUCUCUCGCAAAACAAACAAGAUGCAAGUGACAAGGGUGCUCCAUGAGAUGAGAAAUCUUAAACAAGGAGAGAGGUCUAUAACAGAUUAUGCUGGUGAACUGAAAAGGUUAUACAGGGACCUUGAGUUCUUUCGUCCUUUCGAGUCUAAUGAUCCAAAAGACUUGGCUCUUCUUCGUGAAUGGUUUCAGCCCAUUCUUGUUCAAAGCUUUUUGGAAGGGCUAAACCAAGAGUUUGAUCUUCGAAGACAAAUGAUCUAUUCAGCUCCGGAUUGGCCCACCCUUGAUGAAGCAGUAUCUAGUGUUCUCGAAGAGGAGACUCGGUUAUCAAACCAAGUCGUGACCCCACAUGCAAGUGUUGACACUCGUGCUGCUCUCUCUUCACAGGCUCAUACUACAUCUUCUGUUGCUUCUAACAAUGAUCAAGCAAAUACUACUAUGUUUGAGUACAGGAGAAAGCCAAAGGUAGUAUGUGAUCACUGCAAGCAAACUGGCCACAUAAAGAAGAAUUGUUUUGAUCUGAUUGGAUAUCCACCUGGGUGGCAACAACGACAUGGACGGCUGAAGUUUGGUGAUGCCCGAUGGAAGAAGCAAGAUCGUGUGCAUCUCACUUCGUCCACAAGUGAAUUAUCAGCAGCAGCUGCACAAGCUCUCAAGGAAUUUAAAUCAAAACUCUUAGCUGCAUCCAAUGAAGUUCCUGCUGGCUCUGUGUCCAGUUACCAUCCAUCUCAAGGAACUGAAGACAGGGAAGGUACUUGCGACUGGCACCGAGCGUGA